GAUGAACGCUGGCGGCGUGCCUAAUACAUGCAAGUCGAGCGAACAGACGAGGAGCUUGCUCCUCUGACGUUAGCGGCGGACGGGUGAGUAACACGUGGAUAACCUACCUAUAAGACUGGGAUAACUUCGGGAAACCGGAGCUAAUACCGGAUAAUAUAUUGAACCGCAUGGUUCGAUAGUGAAAGACGGUUUUGCUGUCACUUAUAGAUGGAUCCGCGCCGCAUUAGCUAGUUGGUAAGGUAACGGCUUACCAAGGCAACGAUGCGUAGCCGACCUGAGAGGGUGAUCGGCCACACUGGAACUGAGACACGGUCCAGACUCCUACGGGAGGCAGCAGUAGGGAAUCUUCCGCAAUGGGCGAAAGCCUGACGGAGCAACGCCGCGUGAGUGAUGAAGGUCUUCGGAUCGUAAAACGCUGUUAUUAGGGAAGAACAAAUGUGUAAGUAACUAUGCACGUCUUGACGGUACCUAAUCAGAAAGCCACGGCUAACUACGU
rnacentral:rRNA from 1 species